rnacentral:rRNA from 1 species
UGGGGAAUAUUGCACAAUGGGCGCAAGCCUGAUGCAGCCAUGCCGCGUGUAUGAAGAAGGCCUUCGGGUUGUAAAGUACUUUCAGCGGGGAGGAAGGGAGUAAAGUUAAUACCUUUGCUCAUUGACGUUACCCGCAGAAGAAUCACCGGCUAACUCCGUGCCAGCAGCCGCGGUAAUACGGAGGGUGCAAGCGUUAAUCGGAAUUACUGGGCGUAAAGCGCACGCAGGCGGUCUGUCAAGUCGGAUGUGAAAUCCCCGGGCUUAACCUGGGAACUGCAUUCGAAACUGGCAGGCUAGAGUCUUGUAGAGGGGGGUAGAAUUCCAGGUGUAGCGGUGAAAUGCGUAGAGAUCUGGAGGAAUACCGGUGGCGAAGGCGGCCCCCUGGACAAAGACUGACGCUCAGGUGCGAAAGCGUGGGGAGCAAACAGG